GGCUUUUUGAGUAUUUAAAUAAUAAAAAGUCUGGCCUGCCCAGUGAGUAUAUUAAAUGGCUGCAACGAGAGUUGUACUAAGGUAGCGCGAUAAUUUGUCUCUUAAUUAGAGAAUGGUAUGAAGGGUUAGACGUGGGAUUAUUGUCUCUAAAAAAUACAGUUAAGUUUCCUUUUAAAUGAAAAGGUUUAAAUUUAUUAAAAGACGAGAAGACCCUGUCGAGCUUAAUUAAAUAAAAAACUAGAUAUGGUUAAAUGAAAAGUGUUAAUAGUUUAAUUGUUGGCUGAGUUUUUAAUUGAAGUUUAGUUGGGGAGAGCUGAGUUUAAGGUAAUAAACUUAAGAAAUACUAAAGAUCCUCUUUGAGAGAAGUUAGCAAAAGCUACCGCAGGGAUAACAGCGUAAUUCUUUUUAAGAGAUCUUAUUGAGGGAAGAGUUUGCGACCUCGAUGUUGGAUUAGAAAAAACUUUUUUGGUGUAGCAGCUAGAAAGUUGUAAAGAACUGGUUCGUUCUUUUAAUUUUUCU
rnacentral:rRNA from 1 species